rnacentral:rRNA from 1 species
UGAGUACGAGAUGCUACGGCGUCGAAGCAGUCUAGGUCAUACUUCCAAGAAAAGCUUGCACUGUCAUCAACAAAGAAUGCCUGUACCAUAACCGACACAGGUGGGUAGGUAGAGUAUACUAAGGGGCGCGAGAUAACUCUCUCUAAGGAACUCGGCAAAAUGACUCCGUAACUUCGGGAGAAGGAGUGCCUUAUUUUUAAGGUUGCAAUAACAAGAUCCAAGCAACUGUUUACCAAAAACACAGGUCUCCGCUAAGUCGUAAGACGAUGUAUGGGGGCUGACGCCUGCCCAGUGCCAGAAGGUUAAAGAAGUUGGUUAGCAUUUGCGAAGCUGAUAACUGAAGCCCUGGUGAACGGCGGCCGUAACGAUAACGGUCCUAAGGUAGCGAAAUUCCUUGUCGGGUAAGUUCCGACCCGCACGAAAGGCGUAAUGAUUUGGAUACUGUCUCGGAGAGGGGCUCGGUGAAAUAGACUUGUCUGUGAAGAUGCGGACUACCUGCACCUGGACAGAAAGACCCUAUGAAGCUUUACUGUAACUUGAGAUUGAAAUUGGACUUUAUUUGCGCAGUAUAGGUGGGAGGCGUUGAGAAUAAUCUUGCGGGAUUAUCGGAGCCAUCAGUGAGAUACCACUCUUGUAAUGUUAGAUUUCUAACUUUGUAUCAUUAUCUGGUCAAAGAACAGUUUCAGGCGGGCAGUUUGACUGGGGCGGUCGCCUCCCAAAGGGUAACGGAGGCGCACAAAGGUUUCCUCUGAACGGGUAGAAAUCGUAUCUAGAGUGUAAAGGCAUAAGGAAGCUUGACUGUGAGACCUACAAGUCGAGCAGGGACGAAAGUCGGUCUUAGUGAUCUGACGGUGCUGAGUGGAAAGGCCGUCACUCAACGGAUAAAAGUUACUCUAAGGAUAACAGGCUGAUCUCCCCCAAGAGUUCACAUCGACGGGGAGGUUUGGCACCUCGAUGUCGGCUCAUCGCAUCCUGGGGCGGUAGUACGUCCCAAGGGUUGGGCUGUUCGCCCAUGAAAGCGGUACGCGAGCUGGGUUCAGAACGUCGUGAGACAGUUCGGUCCAUAUCCGGUGUAGGCGUUAGAAUAUUGAAAGGAGCCUUCUCUAGUACGAGAGGACCGAGAAGGACAUACCUCUGGUGUGCCAGUUAUCGUGCCAACGGUAAACGCUGGGUAGCUAUGUAUGGAGUGGAUAACCGCUGAAAGCAUCUAAGUGGGAAGCCCACCUUAAGAUAAG